AACGAACGCUGGCGGCAUGCCUAACACAUGCAAGUCGAACGAGACCUUCCGGUCUAUUGGCGCACGGGUGCGUACCGCGGGGUAACUUGCCCUUAGGUUCGCAGUAACUCCCCGUAAGGUGUGCUCAUACCAGUUAAUGUCUUAGGACCAACGAUUUCUUGCUUUUGGAUGGGCCCGGGUUGGUUUGGCUAGUUGGUAGGGUAAAAGCCUACCAAGGCGACGAUCCAUAGCUGGUCUGGGACGAGGACCAGCCACGCUGGGAAUGAGACACGGCCCACACUCCGACGGAAGGGAGGAGUGGGGUGUAUUAGGGGAGGGGCGAAAGCCUGAUCAAGCAAUGCCGCGUGAGUGAUGAAGGCGUUAGGGUUGUAAAGCUCUCUUUGCCGGGAUGAUAGUGACAGUACCGGGUGAAUAAGCACCGGCUAACUCCGUG
rnacentral:rRNA from 1 species